rnacentral:rRNA from 2 species
UGGGGAAUAUUGCACAAUGGAGGGAACUCUGAUGCAGCGACGCCGCGUGAACGAAGAAGGCUUUCGAGUCGUAAAGUUCUUUUAUAUGGGAAGAUAAUGACGGUACCCUGUGAGGAAGCCCCGGCUAACUACGUGCCAGCAGCCGCGGUAAUACGUAGGGGGCUAGCGUUAUCCGGAUUUACUGGGCGUAAAGGGUGCGUAGGUGGUCUUUCAAGUCGGUGGUUAAAGGCUACGGCUCAACCGUAGUUAGCCUCCGAAACUGGAAGACUUGAGUGCAGGAGAGGAAAGUGGAAUUCCCAGUGUAGCGGUGAAAUGCGUAGAUAUUGGGAGGAACACCAGUAGCGAAGGCGGCUUUCUGGACUGCAACUGACACUGAGGCACGAAAGCGUGGGUAGCAAACAGG